rnacentral:misc_RNA from 1 species
UCCGAUUUGUCACCGGCAGUCUCCCAUGAGUCCCCGGCAUUACCCGCUGGCAACUAAGAGCAGGGGUUGCGCUCGUUGCGGCACUUAAGCCAACACCUCACGACACGAGCUGACGACAGCCAUGCAGCAUCUGUGCACGCUCCCUUGCGGGUCGUCACCCUUUCAGGCUCCUACCACGUGCAUGUCAAGCCCAGGUAAGGUUCUUCGCGUUGCAUCGAAUUAAGCCACAUGCUCCGCCGCUUGUGCGGGCCCCCGUCAAUUCCUUUGAGUUUUAGCCUUGCGGCCGUACUCCCCAGGCGGGGUGCUUAAUGCGUUAGCUUCGGCACGGAACGGGUUGAAGACCGCCCCACACCUAGCACCCAACGUUUACGGCUGGGACUAC